UUACUCUGGUUUCUCUUCAUAACGCACAAGUCUUUCGCCUUUUACUAAAGACUUCCGUGGAGAGUGACUCCAACGAGUUUAGCCUAUUUUUGGCAGGCUUUGCUCUCUGGCAGAGC
ensembl:snRNA U5 U5 spliceosomal RNA